rnacentral:rRNA from 4 species
UAAACGACUCUCGGCAACGGAUAUCUCGGCUCACGCAUCGAUGAAGAACGUAGCAAAAUGCGAUACUUGGUGUGAAUUGCAGAAUCCCGUGAACCAUCGAGUUUUUGAACGCAAGUUGCGCCCGAAGCCUUUUGGUUGAGGGCACGUCUGCCUGGGCGUCACAU